UUCCACCUGAACUCUGGUUAACUAAUUUCAGAAGAAGAGCUGUAUCUAAACUUUAUGGAUAUUUUUAAACUUCAUUGACAAGGUCAUAUGUACAGAAAUGCCUUUUCCUUCCUAACAUUUUCUGUGAGGGGGCUUGGGGACAGGAAGCAGCUUCUUGUGAUUACUUGCUGCUCUACUCUUGUGAAAAAGAAUACUGCAGUCGUAUGUUGCCUGAGCCAUGAGAUCUACAUACUGUAUCUGUCUACUUUCAAAGCACCUAUUGCUACAUAGAGAUCUUUCCAGGCUAAUCCUUCCCUAGCUUAUAGAAAGAAAUUCUGCAAUACUAAUACUGUUGAAUGCAAGAACACACAGAGCUUGACUUCUGGAAGAGGUCACUAAAGGAUGUGAUCCAAUGUGCUGGAAAUGCAGCUGUAGUAUUAGCAUGCUUUGGAUUGGGUUAUAUCAUUGAAUCAUAUAUGGGCAAUAAACAGAAUAACUUGUAA